rnacentral:rRNA from 1 species
UACGGAGGGUGCAAGCGUUAUCCGGAUUCACUGGGUGUAAAGGGUGCGUAGGCGGGAGAGUAAGUCCGCGGUGAAAUCUCACAGCUCAACUGUGAAACUGCCGUUGAUACUGCUUUUCUUGAGUUCGGGAGAGGUUGAUGGAAUUCCAGGCGUAGCGGUGAAAUGCGUAGAUAUCUGGAAGAACACCAGUGGCGAAGGCGGUCAACUGGCCCGUAACUGACGCUGAGGCACGAAAGCGUGGGUAGCGAACAGG